AGCAUUAAGUAUAACUAAUUGCUUUUUUAAUCACCCCUUUACUAAAAACACUAGCACAAAAUGAAACACACCACUGCUGUGGGUUCCCCACCCCACGGGAGUCGGGCCAUGGUGGUCAUGGCCCUCAGGAGCUGUGGUUGGCGUCCCUUAUUUUCACUUCUGAAAGUUGGCACCCCUAGUGUUGAUCCCUGGAAACUGACUUUU